UUUCUCCUAUCACAGCCAUUAAACUCUGUCAGUUAGGUUAGUAUUGAGGAGUAACUAUAAUGUAGUUGAUCCAUCCUCAGUUUUCUCCUAUCACAGCCAUUAAACUCUGUCAGUUAGGUUAGUAUUGAGGAGUAACUAUAAUGUAGUUGAUCCAUCCUCAGUGUUCUCCUAUCACAGCCAUUAAACUCUGUCAGUUAGGUUAGUAUUGAGGAGUAACUAUAAUGUAGUUGAUCCAUCCUCAGUGUUCUCCUAUCACAGCCAUUAUACUCUGUCAGUUAGGUUAGUAUUGAGGAGUAACUAUAAUGUAGUUGAUCCAUCCUCAGUGUUCUCCUAUCACAGCCAUUAAACUCUGUCAGUUAGGUUAGUAUUGAGGAGUAACUAUAAUGUAGUUGAUCCAUCCUCAGUGUUCUCCUAUCACAGCCAUUAAACUCUGUCAGUUAGGUUAGUAUUGAGGAGUAACUAUAAUGUAGUUGAUCCAUCCUCAGUGUUCUCCUAUCACAGCCAUUAUACUCUGUCAGUUAGGUUAGUAUUGAGGAGUAACUAUAAUGUAGUUGAUCCAUCCUCAGUGUUCUCCUAUCACAGCCAUUAAACUCUGUCAGUUAGGUUAGUAUUGAGGAGUAACUAUAAUGUAGUUGAUCCAUCCUCAGUUUUCUCCUAUCACAGCCAUUAAACUCUGUCAGUUAGGUUAGUAUUGAGGAGUAACUAUAAUGUAGUUGAUCCAUCCUCAGUGUUCUCCUAUCACAGCCAUUAAACUCUGUCAGUUAGGUUAGUAUUGAGGAGUAACUAUAAUGUAGUUGAUCCAUCCUCAGUUUUCUCCUAUCACAGCCAUUAAACUCUGUCAGUUAGGUUAGUAUUGAGGAGUAACUAUAAUGUAGUUGAUCCAUCCUCAGUGUUCUCCUAUCACAGCCAUUAAACUCUGUCAGUUAGGUUAGUAUUGAGGAGUAACUAUAAUGUAGUUGAUCCAUCCUCAGUUUUCUCCUAUCACAGCCAUUAAACUCUGUCAGUUAGGUUAGUAUUGAGGAGUAACUAUAAUGUAGUUGAUCCAUCCUCAGUUUUCUCCUAUCACAGCCAUUAAACUCUGUCAGUUAGGUUAGUAUUGAGGAGUAACUAUAAUGUUGUUGAUCCAUCCUCAGUGUUCUCCUAUCACAGCCAUUAUACUCUGUCAGUUAGGUUAGUAUUGAGGAGUAACUAUAAUGUAGUUGAUCCAUCCUCAGUGUUCUCCUAUCACAGCCAUUAUACUCUGUCAGUUAGGUUAGUAUUGAGGAGUAACUAUAAUGUAGUUGAUCCAUCCUCAGUGUUCUCCUAUCACAGCCAUUAAACUCUGUCAGUUAGGUUAGUAUUGAGGAGUAACUAUAAUGUAGUUGAUCCAUCCUCAGUGUUCUCCUAUCACAGCCAUUAAACUCUGUCAGUUAGGUUAGUAUUGAGGAGUAACUAUAAUGUAGUUGAUCCAUCCUCAGUGUUCUCCUAUCACAGCCAUUAAACUCUGUCAGUUAGGUUAGUAUUGAGGAGUAACUAUAAUGUAGUUGAUCCAUCCUCAGUGUUCUCCUAUCACAGCCAUUAAACUCUGUCAGUUAGGUUAGUAUUGAGGAGUAACUAUAAUGUAGUUGAUCCAUCCUCAGUGUUCUCCUAUCACAGCCAUUAAACUCUGUCAGUUAGGUUAGUAUUGAGGAGUAACUAUAAUGUAGUUGAUCCAUCCUCAGUGUUCUCCUAUCACAGCCAUUAUACUCUGUCAGUUAGGUUAGUAUUGAGGAGUAACUAUAAUGUAGUUGAUCCAUCCUCAGUGUUCUCCUAUCACAGCCAUUAAACUCUGCCAGUUAGGUUAGUAUUGAGGAGUAACUAUAAUGUAGUUGAUCCAUCCUCAGUGUUCUCCUAUCACAGCCAUUAAACUCUGCCAGUUAGGUUAGUAUUGAGGAGUAACUAUAAUGUAGUUGAUCCAUCCUCAGUGUUCUCCUAUCACAGCCAUUAUACUCUGUCAGUUAGGUUAGUAUUGAGGAGUAACUAUAAUGUUGUUGAUCCAUCCUCAGUGUUCUCCUAUCACAGCCAUUAAACUCUGUCAGUUAGGUUAGUAUUGAGGAGUAACUAUAAUGUUGUUGAUCCAUCCUCAGUGUUCUCCUAUCACAGCCAUUAUACUCUGCCAGUUAGGUUAGUAUUGAGGAGUAACUAUAAUGUAGUUGAUCCAUCCUCAGUGUUCUCCUAUCACAGCCAUUAUACUCUGCCAGUUAGGUUAGUAUUGAGGAGUAACUAUAAUGUAGUUGAUCCAUCCUCAGUGUUCUCCUAUCACAGCCAUUAUACUCUGCCAGUUAGGUUAGUAUUGAGGAGUAACUAUAAUGUAGUUGAUCCAUCCUCAGUGUUCUCCUAUCACAGCCAUUAAACUCUGCCAGUUAGGUUAGUAUUGAGGAGUAACUAUAAUGUAGUUGAUCCAUCCUCAGUGUUCUCCUAUCACAGCCAUUAUACUCUGUCAGUUAGGUUAGUAUUGAGGAGUAACUAUAAUGUUGUUGAUCCAUCCUCAGUGUUCUCCUAUCACAGCCAUUAAACUCUGCCAGUUAGGUUAGUAUUGAGGAGUAACUAUAAUGUAGUUGAUCCAUCCUCAGUGUUCUCCUAUCACAGCCAUUAAACUCUGCCAGUUAGGUUAGUAUUGAGGAGUAACUAUAAUGUAGUUGAUCCAUCCUCAGUGUUCUCCUAUCACAGCCAUUAUACUCUGUCAGUUAGGUUAGUAUUGAGGAGUAACUAUAAUGUUGUUGAUCCAUCCUCAGUUUUCUCCUAUCACAGCCAUUAAACUCUGUCAGUUAGGUUAGUAUUGAGGAGUAACUAUAAUGUAGUUGAUCCAUCCUCAGUGUUCUCCCAUCACAGCCAGUAUACUCUGUCAGUUAGGUUAGUAUUGAGGAGUAACUAUAAUGUAGUUGAUCCAUCCUCAGUGUUCUCCUAUCACAGCCAUUAUACUCUGUCAGUUAGGUUAGUAUUGAGGAGUAACUAUAAUGUAGUUGAUCCAUCCUCAGUGUUCUCCCAUCACAGCCAUUAAACUCUGUCAGUUAGGUUAGUAUUGAGGAGUAACUAUAAUGUAGUUGAUCCAUCCUCAGUUUUCUCCUAUCACAGCCAUUAAACUCUGUCAGUUAGGUUAGUAUUGAGGAGUAACUAUAAUGUAGUUGAUCCAUCCUCAGUGUUCUCCUAUCACAGCCAUUAAACUCUGUCAUUUAGGUUAGUAUUGAGGAGUAACUAUAAUGUAGUUGAUCCAUCCUCAGUUUUCUCCUAUCACAGCCAUUAAAAUCUGUCAGUUAGGCUAGUAUUGAGGAGUAACUAUAAUGUAGUUGAUCCAUCCUCAGUUUUCUCCUAUCACAGCCAUUAAACUCUGUCAGUUAGGUUAGUAUUGAGGAGUAACUAUAAUGUAGUUGAUCCAUCCUCAGUUUUCUCCUAUCACAUCCAUUAAACUCUGUCAGUUAGGUUAGUAUUGAGGAGUAACUAUAAUGUAGUUGAUCCAUCCUCAGUGUUCUCCUAUCACAGCCAUUAAACUAUGUCAGUUAGGUUAGUAUUGAGGAGUAACUAUAAUGUAGUUGAUCCAUCCUCAGUGUUCUCCUAUCACAGCCAUUAUACUCUGUCAGUUAGGUUAGUAAUUGAGGAGUAACUAUAAUGUAGUUGAUCCAUCCUCAGUGUUCUCCUAUCACAGCCAUUAAACUCUGUCAGUUAGGUUAGUAUUGAGGAGUAACUAUAAUGUAGUUGAUCCAUCCUCAGUGUUCUCCUAUCACAGCCAUUAUACUCUGUCAGUUAGGUUAGUAAUUGAGGAGUAACUAUAAUGUAGUUGAUCCAUCCUCAGUGUUCUCCUAUCACAGCCAUUAUACUCUGU